GUACUUGCUUUGGCAGCACAUACACUAAAAUUAAAAUGAUACAGAGAAAAUUAUCUGACCCUUGUGCAAGGAAUACACACAGAUUCAUGAAUUAUUCCAUAUUUUU